CCAAAUCAUUUUAUUAAUAUAAACAUGUUCAAUGGCACAUACCUCAGUCAGAUACAAUAUGUGUUUAUAUAAAAUAACAAUAUAGAUUGUAAAUAGUAUACGUUGGUUUUCUGAUUAUGUGUACAGCACCAUAAAAAGGCUAUAGAGUUAUCUCAAACUAAGACCAGUCUCACACACAGGACAAUUAGAGAAACUCUUUAUACCCCAAGUGAUUGUUUGCUCCGUAAGCAAAAUGUUCCAGCAUUUUAUAUUUCUACAACACAACUGACAGCAGCGAUCUGCCCACCAGUAAAAGGCAACAUUACAUCCACAGUCGCAGAUGUGGGCACUGUGAAGACUACAUUACAAAUGGAAACAUAAAGUUUCCAUGUUGCAUUGGUAGUUUCACAAUAUAAGGCAUUAAAAUGGUUCCCCCUACACACAUAAUGGCAAAAUAUAUAAAUAUAAGCUCUGGUAAAUAAGUAUAGGUGGAAAUCUGUAUCAAAUGGAUCAUUGUGGACUAUGACAUAAAUCCAGAAACAGUGCCACUCUUUUUCAAGGGCUGUGUUUGGUAUUGCAGCCCAGCUUUAUCUCUAAUCUCAUUAAACAAUCUUAAAGCACAAGUGUCACCAAGAAUGUGCUUGGGAAGCUGCACACACAGUGCACUAGGGCUUUACAAGCAUAUUCUCAGCAUAACUUUAUGAAUAAAUUAGGCAGCUUUAUAAUUCCUGUGUGAACAGAGAGGAGGUUGGGGCCUAGAGUAGAGCAGACCCCUGGCUCCAUGUCUCCGAUGUUGGCCCGUUUCACUGAGGAAUAAUAAAGCUGUUUUUUGUAUGCAGCCUAAUUUAUUUAUAAAAUUAUACCGAGAAUAUGCUUGUGAAACCCUAGUGCGCUGUGUGUGCAGCUUCACAAGAAUAUUCUUGCUGACAGUUGCGCUUUAUUGUACUAUUGAAUACUUAAAUGACAAAAAUAAAGCAUUUAAACUACUAAAACAGGAUGCCAGUGAAGAAGCAUUAAAAAGCUAUAGAGAAAAAUAUAAAUUAUGUUAAAAAAAACGGAUAAAAGCCACAAAAAUAGAGACAGAAAGACUCAUUGCCAAAGAGAGUAAAACUAACCCCAAAAUGUUCUUUAACUAUAUAAAUAGCAAAAAGGUAAAAAUGUGUAGGCCCUUUAAAAAAUGAUGAGGAAGAAAUUAUAGACGGGGAUCAGGAAAAAGCAAAUAUAUUAAACAAAUUCUUCUCUACUGUAUUCACUGAAGAAAAUGAAAUGCCAGGUGAAAUACAGCGAGAUAAGGUAAACUUCCCAGUACAGGUCACCUGUCUAACCCAGGAAGAAGUACAGGUCACCUGUCUAACCCAGGAAGAAGUACAGGUCACCUGUCUAACCCAGGAAGAAGUACAGUGCCGCCUACAAAAAAUCAAAAUAGACAAAUCACCAGGUCCAGAUGGCAUUCCCCCCCCACCCCGUGUUCUAAAGGAAUUUAGUAAUGUAAUAAACAGACCCCUAUUUUUAAUAUUCAAGGACUCUAUAGUGAGAGGGAAGGUUCCCCAGGACUGGCGCAUGGCAAAUGUGGUGCCAGUAUUUAAAAAGGAGUCAAAAGGUGACCCCCGGGAAUUAUAGGCCUGUUAGUUUAACCUCCGUUGUAUGUAAAUUGUUUUGCUCUUUUGGAGUAUCUUGAUAAAAAUAAAUGUAUGACCCCAUAUCAGCAUGGCUUUAUGAGGGAUCAGUCCUGUCAAACCAACCUGAUCAGCUUUUAUGAGGAGGUGAGCUCCAGACUGGACCAGGGGAAUCGCUGGAUGUUGUACAUUUGAUACAUUGCCACAUAAAAGAUUGGUACAUAAAAUGAGAAGGAUUGGGCUGGGGAAGAAUGUGUGCAAGUGGGUAAGUAACUGGCUCAGUGAUAGGAAACAGAGGGUGGUUAUUAAUGGUACUUAUUCUGAUUGGGUGACUGUUACUAGUGGGGUACCACAGGGGUCAGUCUUGGGUCCUAUUCUAUUUAAUAUAUUCAUUAAUGACCUUGUAGAGGGGUUGAAUAGUAACGUAGCAAUCUUUGCAGAUGAUACCAAACUCUGUAAAGUGGUUAACACAAUAGAGGACAGUGCACUGUUACAAAUGGAUCUGGAUAGGUUGGAGGUUUGGGUUGGGAAGUGGCAGAUGAGGUUCAACACUGAUAAAUGUAAGGUAAUGCACAUGGGGACGAAAAAUCCGUCUGGGAUUAUGUAUUAAAUGGGAGAACACUUAAGAUGACUGACAUGGAAAAGGACUUAGGAGUCUUAGUUAACAGUAAAUUUAGCUGCAGUGACCUGUGUCGGGCAGCUGCUGCCAAGGCAAAUAAAAUCAUGGGUUGCAUCAAUAGGGGCAUAGAUUCCCAUGACAAGGAAAUCAUUCUACUUCAGUACAAAUCACUAGUCAGACCACACAUAGAAUACUGUGUAUAGUACUGGGCACCAGUGUACAAGAAAGGAGCGGGAGAGGGUUCAAAGACGGGACCAGAGUAAUACGGGGAAUGGGAGGACUACAGUACCCAGAAAGAUUAUCAGAAUUGUUAUUUAGUUUAGAAAAAAAGAAGGCUUAGAAGAGACCUAAUAACUAUGUAUAAAUAUAUCAGAGGACAGUACAGAGAUCUCUCCCAUGAUCUAUUUAUAUCCAGGACUGUAUCUAUAACAAGGGGGCAUCCUCUACGUUUAGAGGAAAGAAGGUUUCUACACCACCACAGACAGGGUGUUCUUUACUGUAAGAGCAGUGAGGCUGUGGAACUCUCUGCCUGAGAAGGUGGUCAUGGUGAACUCUGUAAAAGAGUUCAAAAGGGGUCUGGAUGCAUUUUUGUAGAAUAAUAACAUGGCUGGUUAUGUAUAUUAGAUUUAUAGGGACAGAACGUUGAUCCAGGGAUUUAUUCUGACUGCCAUAUUUGGAGGCAGGAAGGAAUUUUUACCUCUAGUAUGAGGUUUUUUUUGUUUUUGUCUGGAUCAACUCAGUAGGGACUUAUUAGGGGUAUAGGUUGAACCUGAUGGACUCUGGUCUUUUUUCAACCUUAUGAACUAUGUUACAGAACAACAACUACACAGCAGUAGCAGUAGAAGCAGAACAUAAUCUAAAGCAUAUAUUUAAUGUACAUAAAGGCAGACGGUCAAAUUAAAUAAUAUUGAUUUUGGAAAGCUGGCAUUUUUGUCACCCAUAUGUGUAUUAGCCUGAAUCCAGUGCAUAAGGUUACACACACUUCACUAAGAAGGUGCUAGAAUUGCAUAGGACAAGUGCAAAAAUACUUUCAUAUCCCCACAACUGUUCUUAUAAAUAAAUAAAAAAAUGAAUGUCGACAUCCACUUGUCAUAUCAAAAAUAGCUUCAUAGCUUUCUCAGGACAAAGGGCCUAAUAGCAAUACAUGUAUUAUUGUAUUUAGUUACACUUACCAGCACUGUCCUAUACAACCUGUAGAGCUCAACUUGUUCCCAUAGAAACACUUAUUGUAUGUAUGGCAGUGGUAAACUACAUGUGGUAAAAUAGGUUUGUAACAUAUAAAUAAAGAAUGGAAGUCGACAUUUCACACUAGGCAUGUCAAAGCUAUGACUAUGAUGUAUAACCCAAUGUGCCUUCUAUGCCAGAUACCUUCCAAUACUUCCUUAGGGUGCAUGCACACCACGCUUUUGCAAUACAGUUCCAGUAUCAGGUUUUUGAUGAAAAAUGGAUUCCUCAAAACCUGACUAAACUGUAUCAAAAUGUGAGUACAAAUUUCAACCCGUAUACAGUUAAAAACCGUAUACGGUUUUUAUUCAAGUCUUAUUUUGCUGCACAUUGUUAUGUUCCAGGCAAAACUUCCUCCAUUACAGUAGUUAGUUACUACAUUGACAUGUCAUAUAUCUAAACAUGCAGAAGAUAUAUUUGCUGCCUGUCAUAUUUCUGACUUCAUGUUCUUUAGAUACACACAUAGAACGGAAUAAUAAAUGUCAUAUCAGUAAGUGCAAAGACACCAUUCCCAGAUUCUGGUGACUGACUAAAUAUUAUUUGUCACUGUGUUACAUAUUCUGAUCACUAUUGUAGGCAGGGUGCCACACUGUUAAUGUGAACAAUGUUGGUGACCUGGCUUUUGCAAUGCUUUUAAGAUUCAAACAAACACAAAGGCUGCUAUUCAUGGGCAGCUUUGUGUUGCUUAAGCCUAAGUAUUUCAGCACCCCAUAUACAUAUUAUCUAUGAGUUUGAAAUAUACUAACUAGGUAUCUCCCACGUAAUAGCUCCAUUCUGUCCAUUACUCUUCACACUCCUUUCCUUGUCCAAAAGUAAAACCUAGUUCCACCUUCUUUACCAUCAAUGCUCUACUCACUCCUGCUCUCGCCCUAUGUAUUAAAGGGAAUGUAUCACUUAGAUUUUUUCCUUUACCGAUUACAGCCAGAUACUAAAAUACAUUCUUUUUUUCUAAUAUGUUUCUACUUUGUGAUUGUAUUAUUAUUAUUUUUUUUUAUUUUUGUACAUUAUAGGGCAGCCAUCUUGCUUGAGUUUUUUUUUUAACUGCAUUUAGGGAUAUGCUUUACAGUAGAACCCAUGAACUGAAAACAUUACUUGGCAUUCUCUGGGACCUUUUCAGAGGUCAUUCUACAGGAAGGGAGAGGGUGACCUAUGAGUAUCAGCUAUUCACCUGGAAAUCUGCCGUCACUGCUCCACCACAGACAUCAAUAAGUUCUGUCAUGUCAUAAUAUGCAUCAAAAGUCCAAAUGCAGCUUUUAAGGUUAAGAUGUUUGUACAACUGAACAGUCUUUGGUUCCCUGACAUUGGGAUCAAAUUGGUAAGGACGAUCAUAACCAGGACCAACUGCAAUGCUGUCAUAUGUCACCUCAUCCAGGAAUCCAGCUUCUGUAAAGAAAAUAAAUAUUCUUCAGUCCUAAUACCUGAAAUCCCUUUCAAAUCCCGAAUGGUGACAAGAUUGGAGCAUACAUGUUGAUGGCGAUAGACAGACUCAGAAAGCAAGAAGUGAAGAUUAUGGAGUGGCAUUGUAGAGAUAAGUGGCAGCAUGCCAUCUUGAUGAGGAAUCUGUACUGAGAUAUGAAUCCUUAAAGUAGAAACAAAAUAGUAGUUACGGACUGGUGAUCACAUGACCAAGUUAUGGAGUAAUGAAAUGCAUAGAUGUAGCUGGAAUUAAACAAAUGACGCUGAACAACUAUUGAUGGUAAUGGCAACAAAUGACACUUACCAUCCUCAUCGUUUGAUAUGGUUAUUGUAGCCAUAUCUAUUUUUCCAGUUCUUGCCCCACUCCAGUGAUUGCCAAGAGGAUUGCUCAGAUGGACCUGGAACUGUUCUUCUGGUUCAAACACAGAGUCAUCAUUGAUCAGGAUUGUGCAGUUUUUCAUCUGUCAAGUGGCAACUGCAGGAACCAGUCAGCCUGCAUUGGGGCUCAUUUUCUAUUGGUUGAUCAUGAAUCUACAUAUCUAAUUAUAUAUUUAAUAUGAAAAUUUAAGGUGGCACAU